rnacentral:rRNA from 1 species
AGUCACUGACAUUAGAUACCCCUGUAGUCCAGGGUGUAAACGCUGCAGACUUGGUGUUGGGGGCCCUUUGGGGCAUUCAGUGCCGGAGAGAAGUUGUUAAGUCUGCUACUUGGGAGUACGUCCGCAAGGAUGAAACUUAAAGGAAUUGGCGGGGAGCACCGCAACGGGAGGAGCGUGCGGUUUAAUUGGAUUCAACACCGGAAAACUCACCAGGGGAGACUGUUACAUGAAACCCAGACUAAUGAUCUUGGUUGAUUUUCAG